AACACCUGAUGAGAGUGUGUUUCUAAAUAUGGAGGGUCUGAAGACUUUGCUUCUGGGUUAAGCUGACUGCAGCCACCAGAGAGCCCAGCUCUCAGCAAAGAAAAGGUAAGUUAAACUAAGUAGAGUCCCUCCAGAAUGGAAGGAUUGAACCAGUGCCCUAGUAGGUCCCAACUGACUCAAUACCGAAAAAAAAAAAAAAAAAUUACAAGAGAUUCAGAAUGAACGCUGAGUUGUGAAAGCCAAAGGCUAACCAAAUAGCCUCAGGACUUACUGGAACCCGGCUCUCAAAUUUUGCUUCAAGCACUUGUCCUUGAGUUUGCACUACAGGUAUCACUGACUUUCUUUGAGAACUAGAAGCAACUAAGAAAUUAAGUCAAUGGAAAUUAAGUAAACAUCACCUGAGGGAAAGGGAAGAUUCGAAAUAAAUAAGAUACAUUCGGUACAGAAUCCAGAAGGAAUCUUGUGUGAUCUCUCCUGCACGAGAAGUCGGCAUUUGGAAACCACUGGAGGUGGGGAUCAAAGCCGCUCCCUGUCCAGCCACCUGCCCAGAAACUGCCCGAGCACCGGCCCAGCACCGCCGGGGCAGGUGGGCAUGUGUCCUUCCCCAACACAACGGGCGCUCCGAGGGACCAAGCUGUGGUGGCGGGCUCCCGGUGCGUCGCCGGGCAGCCAAGGGAGCGCCCUCUGCCACCUCCACCCAGCCCAGCCCCAGAGCCUGCCGCCCGGCCUCGAAGGAUGCCCGGGUCACCUGAGCCACCGCGUCCUGACAGCGGACAGAGGGUGUGCCAGUGGGCUCCCGGGCCGGCGCGCUGGGGAUCCUGGUGCCUGAGCGAUCGGCGGGAGACUGCGCCCUGGCAGCCCGGCGGCCAGCCUCCAGCCCUCCGCAGCCCGCCCAGGAACACUACUUAUUUUAAAACAGAAGAGAAGGCCAAAAAGCACAUGAAAAGAUGCUCAACAUUGCUAAUUUUUAGAGAAAUGCAAAUCAAGUCUACAAUGAAGUAUCACCUCACACCAGUCAAAAUGACCAUCAUUUAAAAGUUUACAAAUAACAAAUAUUGGAGAAGGUGAGGAGAAAGGGGGACCCUCCUGGGGUACAACUGCACUCUUCACAUGCUAGCAAGGUUAUCCUCAAAAUUCCUCAAGGUAGGCUUCAGCAGUA
rnacentral:lncRNA from 1 species